rnacentral:rRNA from 1 species
CCUACGGGGGGCUGCAGUCGAGAAUCAUUCACAAUGGGGGAAACCCUGAUGGUGCGACGCCGCGUGGGGGAAUGAAGGUCUUCGGAUUGUAAACCCCUGUCAUGUGGGAGCAAAUUAAAAAGAUAGUACCACAAGAGGAAGAGACGGCUAACUCUGUGCCAGCAGCCGCGGUAAUACAGAGGUCUCAAGCGUUGUUCGGAAUCACUGGGCGUAAAGCGUGCGUAGGCUGUUGCGUAAGUCGUGUGUGAAAGGCGCGGGCUCAACCCGCGGACGGCACAUGAUACUGCGAGACUAGAGUAAUGGAGAGGUAACCGGAAUUCUCGGUGUAGCAGUGAAAUGCAUAGAUAUCGAGAGGAACACUCGUUGCGAAGGCGGGUUCCUGGACAUUAACUGACGCUGAGGCACGAAGGCCAGGGGAGCGAAAAGGAUUAGAUACCCCGGUAGUC